AAUAUUGGACAAUGGGGUCAACCCUGAUCCAGCCAUUCCGCGUGUGUGAAGCAGUUCUUCCGAUUUUAAAGCACCUUAAGUUGGGAGGAAGGGCUUUAGUUUCAUACCCUGACGCUUUUACGUUACCAACAGAAUAAGCACCGCCUAACUCUGUGCCAGCAGCCGCGGUAAUACAGAGGGUGCAAGCGUUAAUCGGAAUUACUGGGCGUAAAGCGCGCGUAGGUGGUUCAGUAAGAUGGGUGUGAAAUCCCCGGGCUUAACCUGGGAACUGCUUUCAUAACUGCUGAGCUAGAGUACGGUAGAGGGUAGUGGAAUUUCCUGUGUAGCGGUGAAAUGCGUAGAUAUAGGAAGGAACACCAGUGGCGAAGGCGACUACCUGGACUGAUACUGACACUGAGGUGCGAAAGCGUGGGGAGCAAACA
rnacentral:rRNA from 1 species